UUUUGGUUUGGUGUGGAUAAGCUUGUGUCAUAGGCUGUUUUGGUAGUUUUAAAGACUCUUCCGCCUUCCACAUAAUUUCCAAAGGCCGAAGAGGAGUUAAUUCGUCUCGGGGUUGAUCACAAUUCCCCAGACGACCUUUGGGAUUCGGUAAGUUAGGUUUGGUGUGAAUAAGCUUGCAUGUCAUGGUUAAACGUUUCCACCUCUCACAUCAUUUCCAAAGGCCAAAAAGGAGGUUAGUUAGGUUUUCAUGCGGGUUUUUUCACGUUCAUGGUACAGAGGAAGGGUCACACUACCACCAGGGUCAAUAAACUACCCCUGGAAAUGCCAAAAAUGCCUAUAUAUACGAAAGCCUUUUCUAAUGUGUCUGCUUGGGCGCCGAAAUGUUUAAAAAUACGACAGUUCCUCCUUUGGGAUUAGGUAUAGGUCAGGUGUGGCUUGGAUAUAUCCGUGAUUCUUUGUUUCUUAGGUCUUCCUUCAGUAUUAGGUAGGUUAGGUUAGAUUAUGCUUGUAUGUCUUGGGUCUGCGCCAUAGUUUUCCCUUGGCAUUAGGUAGGUAAGGAGUGGUAUAUAUAAACUUCUAUUUCUUUAUUUUGCUUUGUAGUUCCCCAUCCAGCAUCAGGUAGGUUAGGUUAGAUUAUGCUUGUAUGUCUUGGGUCUGCUUCAUAGUUUUCCCUUGGCAUUAGGUAGGUAAGGAGUGGUAUAUAUAAACUUCUAUUCCUUUAUUUUGCUUUGUAGUUCCCCAUUCAGCAACAGGUAGGUGAGGUUAAGCAGCGUCUCAAUCUUUGUUUCUUAGGUCUUCCUUCAGUAUUAGGUAGGUUAGGUUAGAUUAUGCUUGUAUGUCUUGGGUCUGCGUCAUAGUUUUCCCUUGGCAUUAAGUCGGUGAGGAGUGGUAUAUAUAAACUUCUAUUUCUUUAUUUUGCUUUGUAGUUCCCCAUUCAGCAUCAGACAGGUUAGGUUAAGCUACAGAUAGGUAAACCAGGUUGCCGCAGCCCCUCAACAAUUUUUUUCAUUUAUUUCACACCGACUGUUCUUUCGCAGCUUUUUACGCGGGCAACCUGCUGUCCUUGGGGAGGCAAACUCGGCUGUAUUCAUCCGCCAGACUCAGGAACCUUGGCAAAUUAUCGUACUCAAAACAUUACGAUUAUCAGUUCCAGGGCUCGAAACUUUCCUGCCCACACAGAUAACGAAAUUCCAGUUAAAGUUAUCGUUAAAAUCAUUAGUCAUUGGUGUCUGUUUGCGAUAGCUCUACGUCAGAAACCGGAAAAUAAGAUGUGCUGAGUGGCUGAGUACGAUAAUUUGGUAACGCUGGCUUCGUGCAACGUUGCCAAAUUAUCGUACUCAAAGCCACGUAUUUACCGGUUUUUGACGCCUAACUAUUGCCGAGAAACAUCAGGAAUUAACUAUUUUAAAGAUAAAUAUAAAUGAAUCUCGUUAUUGGGGACCAGGAGCCAGUUUUGGGGUCGGAAGUUGGUAAAUAUAAGACGCUGAGUACGAUAAACUAGCAACGUUGGCUUCGUGGUGCAGUGGUUAGCACACUCGGCUCACAACCAAGAGGGCCCGAGUUCGAUUCCCGGGCGCAGUGGAAAAAUUUAGCGGCUUUUUAAUCGGGGGUUGUGUCCCGUCUCCUGGGGUCUGUUCCCUUCUAUAAUUCCUUCCCCUUCUGUCUCUCUCCGGCAUAUGACCACAGAUGUUGCGCCGACCAAACGAAACUUUCCAAAACUUGAUUCUACCUGAUUUCAUUUUCUUUCGCUUCUUUUUUUCUCUUUUACAAGCGUUCAUUUAUUCAUGUUCUCCCGGGGAUGAUAAUAUAGGAAAGUACAAUAGAAACACGUACCUCCAGAGCACGAUCCGCUUAAUUCAAUCAGCCUGUGCGAGGAGGAGCAUUAUAAUCUAAGUAAGAGGAUCAGAGUGGAAGGAGGCUACGUGUGUGUGUGUGUGUAUGUGUGUGUGUGUGUGUGUGUGUGUGUGUGUGUGUGUGUGUGUGUGUGUUUACAGGAAAGGAGACAGCACAAGGGCACAAAACAAGGAAAAAAUAUUAAAAAAAAGCCCGCUACUCGCUGUUCCUGUAAAUAAUCAGAAGAGAUGACCGAAAGAACAGUCAAUUACGUGAGAAGAAGAGGUGUGUGUGUGUGUGCGUGUGUGUGUGUGUGCGUGUGUGUGUGUGUGUGUGUGUAUUUACAGCAAAGGAGACAGCACAAGGGCACAAAACAACGAAAAAAUAUAAAAAAAAGCCCGCUACUCGCUGUUCCUGUAAAUAAUCAGAAGAGGUGACCGAAAGAGCAGUCAGUUACGUGAGAAGAAGAGGUGUGUGUGUGUGUGUGUGUGUGUGUGUGUGUGUGUGUGUGUGUGUGUGUGUACCUCCACGAGUGUUAUUUGAGGUCUUGUGUGAAUGCUUAUAAACGAAGAAAAUGUGGAGAUAUGUUUCUAUUUUAACAGAUUCAAACCGAACGUGAGCUUCCCUUUAGAAGACUUCCACUCUCCGUUGUAUCUGUUUUCUUCUAUUACAACUUCUUCUUUCCUCUCCACUAAUUUGUUCUAUAUUAUCUUUGUGUUAUUCUCGGAGGUUUGUAUUAAUAAGAUCGAAGGGAGGAGUAGCCUAUCAAGACGCCUCUUUAACAGAAUCGGAACCUAUACAUUUAGAAGACUUAUAUGAAUGACGAGGAAGAAGAACAAGAACAAGAAGAAGAAACGGAAGAAGAAAAACUAGAAUAAGAACAGGAAUAAGAGAACAAGAAGAAAAAUAAUAAGAACAGGAAGAAAAAAUAACUAUAAAGAAGAAAAAACAAGAAGAAGAACAAGAACAAGAAGAAGAAAAGGAAGAAGAAAAACUAGACUUAGAACAGGAACAAGAGAACAAGAAGAAAAAUAAUAAGAACAGGAAGAAAAAAUAACUAAAAAGAAGAAAAAAACAAGAAAACAUGAACAAGAAGAAGAAGAACAAGAACAAGAAGAAGAAAAGGAAGAAGAAAAACUAGAAUAAGAACAGGAACAAGAGAACAAGAAGAAAAAAAUAACUAAAAAGAAGAAAAAAACAAGAAAACAUGAACAAGAAGAACAAGAACAAGAAGAAGAAAAGGAAGAAGAAAAACUAGAAUAAGAACAGGAACAAGAGAACAAGAAGAAAAAAAUAACUAAAAAGAAGAAAAAACAAGAAAACAUGAACAAGAAGAACAAGGACAAG